ACGAUCUCACCAACGAUUGGUUGAUCUCCAACGCAUCUUCAGCCAAACAAAAUAGAUCGUUCUAGAGGUGCUCUUCUCAUCACGCCCUAUGUACGCCGCCGCCAUGGCUGCCCCAUGCCUUCUAUUGCAAUCCAGCAAAUCAAAAUUGAUCGAUCAAGGGUACGCCAUGGCAUGGAUGGAUGAGCCUUAUUCUAUCUUCUUUCUUCUUUCAUCUAGCUAGCUAGCUAGCAAGUCAGGUACACAUCAAAAUUGAUCGAUCAAGGGUAGACCAUGGCAUGGAUGGAUGUGCCUUCUUCUCUCUUCUCUCUUCUUUCAUCUUUCUUCUUUCAUCUAGCUAGCUAGCGAGCCAGGUACACCAUAUAAGUAUGUUCUGGUACGUCUAUAAAUAUGCAGUAUGCAUCAUGCCAUACGUAUGUCUCUGCUAAUUACCAAGUAGUAUUACCAUGUAUGAUCUAUAUAUGAGCCGAUAGCCUCAUAUAGACGCUCUUCUCCUUAGGCGUCAUGCACGACGCCGUCGUAGCGACCGACAACUGACGAUUCUCUGUUGUAUGUCUCUAGAUUAGAACAUCAUGGUGUUCUGCAUGCAACAACAUAGAGGCCGUAGGAUGGAGCAAGGUUCCCUUGAUUCCUCCCACCCACACAUCCUUAAUUAUGUUCCCUUGAUACCCAGCUUACUCUGCUUAUGAUAAUCAGAUGGAUAAAAGCAUGCAUGCAUCUAGCUACCUGCAUCACGUAUAACUUAAUAUACAGAGAUCAGCUAGGAGAUUAGUUGUUGGGGGCUCUACUUUCCUUCACCUGCUGAAAAAAUCAAGAUCAAAUUGAGGCUGGGAGGCUAGCGUGGAAUUGCAUUGAUGAUACCGAUGGCCAUGAUCAAUCAAAAGUACACGGACGUGUUCAACCCAGUUGCAGUGCCGUAACGGCAGGCCGUUACCACUUAGACGGAGGCCUAGGUAAGGCCCACAUGGUGAGAGUAUACCCUGUAUGUCGCUGCAUGGCAGAAUGACUCAACGAGAGGAUAAGGAGAAAAUAGAUACGAGAGAGGCACACGAACAUAUUGUACAGGGCUACAGGCCACACACGCGAACUAGUACCCAUGGAUCUUGCUGGGACAAACGAAUGGUGUGGCAUCCAAUUUCCAGGUUAGACGAUCGAUGUGCAUUCUUUGGUUCUGUGUUCUGCACAUCAGCAACGGACAGGAGCGGCCUAUGAUGGAGUCGGAACAAAAAUCCCCAAAACAGUUGUACGUCCAGCCUAUGCUAUUGUAUCAUUUGAGGAGAAAAACUGCUUUGAAAAUUGAGAUCGCUCAAGAUGAAUGGUAUAUACAUUACAUAAAAAAAUUAUAGCCCGGGAAAGCAACGGAGGCCUAGCAGUCUGGACCUAAGGGGCAUGACAACCUGGGAUUGUUUAGGGCAGUGCUGCCGGACGCGUUGUUCUGCAAACCACACCUGUCACCGUUCAGUUCAAUAGACCAGGAAAAUCAGGACGUCAUACAUGCACUUGAGGUAUGCAACCAUAAUGUACAUAGCAAUUUCAAUGUAUGCAAUACAUGCAUUUAUGCAAGCGUGUAUAUAUAUAUAUAUAUAUAUAUGCAUGAACCGAAGUAUGUGUUGGUUGAUCUGUGAGGGGUAGACUACAGCAGGUACAGUCGAAAAAAUACGAUACAGUACAAUUUACAGAUUGAAUUUUCACAAUAUUUCCUUUAAAUUAAAAAUCUCUAUUCUCUACCUUUGUAGUAUUCCUCUGUCUCAAAAGAGUACUAGAUAGUGUGAUAUAUAUGAUGCAAUAAUUAUGGUAGACAUGAUUGCAAAUAUUUAGAUUUUGUUGGCAACUACUUUCAUUCUGGUCAAAAGUGAAAGCAUACUAAAUCUUUUGGUUGGACCAAAGUUUCAGGUAAGCAUCAUGGUUCUUCGGAUGGUUAAAAUCUGUACAUUGUAAUUGUCAACAUGAUUUACACCUUUGGUAAUAUAUUAACAAAUCUUCAUUUAUAAGACAUCGAUGUAUUAUGUACUUAUAUAGGACAGAUCAACGAAACACAUGCAAGUCAUGGAAUUUACAUGAUUUGACACAUUAAGUUCUGAACUUGGUGUAUGGAGAAGAUUAGACUAACCAAAUUCGUGAAGAAUUUAUCACAAAGUUUGGUAGAUGAACAUUAAUUGUCAAUGUUAGAAAAAUCUACUACAUAAAUUAAUCUAUUAAGAUGUCAUUUUGAUUCUUCAUUUUAAUGGGGGAUUUUGACAUCCUCGGAGCCAUGGAAAUAAAAAAAGAUGUUAUGAAUUCCUUACAAUUAGAGUCACAUUUCUUAUUCUGUUGCAUAUAUAAAUAUUUUUGUACAUACAAAGCAGAGAGAAGUGAUGUGCACAGCAACUUGCAUAGUGUUGAAGAAGAAAAAACUAAUUUCGCAAUUGAAAAUUUCUAUAAAGCUAAAUUGCACAGUGUCGCAUAUUUACCAAGUAUGUCAUUUUUAUGUUCAAUUCUUGAAUGCUAUUUUGUUUGUAAAAUUUGUACUAUUACCAGCAUUUAUAUCUAUGUACCAUU